rnacentral:lncRNA from 1 species
AGCUCUGUGCUAACUUGUGUGAGGCAUCUGUGCACAAUCCAUCCAGCUGUGAUUAAAUUCCUGGUUUCAGUGUUUGUGUGUGUGUGUUUCAAUUCAAAAAUUAAAGGCAAAUUCCUGUGGAAAGAGAUACUUGGAAAACGUCUGCAAAGUCAGUCUGAUAUCCACCACCCAGUUCUCCAGGUGGAAGAAUAAUCAAAGAGCCUUGGGGGAAAGAGGGAUUCUCAUGGUUGAAGAUGAUGAAGAUGUGAAGGCUGGAUUUGAUAAUGAAGAGUCUUCUUUGUGUUCUCUCAUUAUUUAUGCCACAUCUGCCUCUCAGCAUUUGUGUCAAUGAGUCACUGUAAUUACAGCCGUUGGAUAAUUUCCUCCGUUUUACAACACAAACCCGACUGUGUGAGUGCUCCAUCAGAGAAAAACAUUUAUUUCCUUGCAGCACCAUCAGGCAGCAAGGUCCAGCUUU